rnacentral:rRNA from 1 species
AUACGUAGGUGGCAAGCGUUGUCCGGAUUUACUGGGUGUAAAGGGUGCGUAGGCGGGGCAGCAAGUUGGAUGUGAAAUCCUCGGGCUCAACUCGAGAACUGCAUUCAAAACUGUUGCUCUUGAGUGCAGUAGAGGCAAGCGGAAUUCCCGGUGUAGCGGUGAAAUGCGCAGAGAUCGGGAGGAACACCAGUGGCGAAGGCGGCUUGCUGGGCUGUUACUGACGCUGAGGCACGAAAGCAUGGGUAGCAAACAGGAUUAGAUACCCUGGUAGUCCACACUGUAAACGAUGAAUGCUAGGUGUAAGAGGUAUCGACCCCUUUUGUGCCGGAGUCAACACAAUAAGCAUUCCGCCUGGGGAGUACGGCCGCAAGGUUGAAACUCAAAUGAAUUGGCGGGG